rnacentral:lncRNA from 1 species
UCCCACUCACAGAGAAGUUGGUGGUUGUCUCUUUUAACAGAGGUUUCCGUUGUCUGCACAUCAGCCCUGCCUGUCAGGCGUCACCAAAAAAAAGCCACUGCAGCUGAACGACCACGAAAAGGAGAUGCACCACAGCAAGAGUGAAUAGCAAGUGCAAGCCAGCACGAGAGUAAACUGACCUUUGGAGCCAACAGCAUCAUUAGGGGGCUGGACUUGGACUGGAUUAGCAUUCAGCAGCAAAAACAGAUGCUGAGCUUUCAAGAGGCCUCUAAUGAAGAAUAUGAAAUCAUAAGACCCUAGGCCCUGCAGGAUAAGUA